rnacentral:rRNA from 1 species
UACGAAGGGGGCUAGCGUUGCUCGGAAUCACUGGGCGUAAAGGGUGCGUAGGCGGGAUGGCAAGUCAGUCGUGAAAUCUCUCGGCUCAACCGAGAAACGUCGGCUGAUACUGCCGUUCUUGAGGGAUGCAGAGGAGACUGGAAUUCCCGGUGUAGCGGUGAAAUGUGUAGAGAUCGGGAGGAACACCGGUGGCGAAGGCGGGUCUCUGGGCAUCUCCUGACGCUGAGGCGCGAAAGCGUGGGGAGCAAACGGG